rnacentral:misc_RNA from 1 species
GAUGAAGAACGUAGCGAAAUGCGAUAAGUAAUGUGAAUUGCAGAAUUCAGUGAAUCAUCGAAUCUUUGAACGCACAUUGCGCCCGCCAGUAUUCUGGCGGGCAUGCCUGUCCGAGCGUCAUUUCAACCCUCGAACCCCUCCGGGGGGUCGGCGUUGGGGAUCGGCCCUGCCUCUUGGCGGUGGCCGUCUCCGAAAUACAGUGGCGGUCUCGCCGCAGCCUCUCCUGCGCAGUAGUUUGCACACUCGCAUCGGGAGCGCGGCGCGUCCACAGCCGUUAAACACCCAACUUCUGAAAUGUUGACCUCGGAUCAGGUAGGAAUACCCGCUGAACUUAAGCAUAUCAAUAAGCGGAGGAA